rnacentral:rRNA from 1 species
GGUGAGUAACACGUGAGCAACCUGCCCCUAACUUUGGGAUAACUUCGGGAAACCGGGGCUAAUACCAAAUACGACCCAUGAGGGCAUCCUCUGUGGGUGGAAAGAAUUUCGGUUGGGGAUGGGCUCGCGGCCUAUCAGCUUGUUGGUGGGGUAACGGCCUACCAAGGCAUCGACGGGUAGCCGGCCUGAGAGGGCGAUCGGCCACACUGGGACUGAGACACGGCCCAGACUCCUACGGGAGGCAGCAGUGGGGAAUAUUGCACAAUGGGCGCAACGCUGAUGCAGCAACGCCGCGUGGGGGAAGGAGGCUUCGGGUUGUAAACCUCUUUUGGCAGGGAAGAAGCGAAAGUGACGGUACCUGCAGAAAAAGCGCCGGCUAACUACGUGCCAGCAGCCGCGGUAAUACGUAGGGCGCGAGCGUUGUCCGGAAUUAUUGGGCGUAAAGAGCUCGUAGGCGGUUUGUCACGUCUGCCGUGAAAAUCCGAGGCUCAACCUCGGGACUGCGGUGGGUACGGGCAGGCUAGAGUGCGAUAGGGGAGAGCGGAAUUCCUGGUGUAGCGGUGAAAUGCGCAGAUAUCAGGAGGAACACCGAUGGCGAAGGCAGCUCUCUGGGUCGCUACUGACGCUGAGGAGCGAAAGCGUGGGGAGCGAACAGGAUUAGAUACCCUGGUAGUCCACGCCGUAAACGUUGGGCGCUAGACGUGGGGGUGGUUCCACCGCUUCCGUGU